rnacentral:lncRNA from 1 species
AACAAGAAGAAGCAGAGACACGCUCUUUAGAAUCAUACCAUGAACGUUUAAAAGAGGAAGAUCUGUAGAUAAUUUCAGUGUACAAUGAGGUAUGCAGAGUUCUAAUUAACACCAGAAGUUCAAACUUGAGAACACAGAGAAGAAAAAUAAUAUAUAACUACUGAGGGUCCCAAGGACACAGCCAAAGGGUGGCUGUCUGCAAACCAGAAAGAGAUCCUCACCAGAACUGGACCAUACUGGCACCCUAAUCUCAGAAUCGAAGCCUC